rnacentral:rRNA from 1 species
GAUGAACGCUAGCGGCAGGCCUAACACAUGCAAGUCGAGGGGUAACUAGAGUGAUAGCAAUAUUACUUUGGCUAGACCGGCGCACGGGUGCGUAACACGUAUGCAACCUACCUUAUACUGGGGAAUAACUUCGAGAAAUCGGCGCUAAUACCCCAUAACAUUGCGAAGAGGCAUCUCUUUGCAAUUAAAGCUCCGGCGGUAUAAGAUGGGCAUGCGUCCAAUUAGCUAGUUGGUGAGGUAACGGCUCACCAAGGCUACGAUUAGUAGGGGUUCUGAGAGGAUGAUCCACCAAACUGGUACUAAGAGACGGACCAGAUUCCUACGGGAGGCAGCAGUGAGGAAUAUUGCGCAAUGGACGAAAGUCUGACGCAGCCAUGCCGCGUGCAGGAUGACGGCCCUAUGGGUUGUAAACUGCUUUUGUACGGGAAUAAACCCUUCUACGUGUAGGAGGCUGAAGGUACCGUAAGAAUAAGCACCGGCUAACUCCGUGCCAGCCGCCGCGGUAAUAC